rnacentral:lncRNA from 1 species
AAAAUAUGACAAUGACAAAUAUAAUGCCAUGGCACUGAAGCUGAGAGCUGAAUAGCAAGAAGCAACAAGGCAUGGAAGAGCCCAUGUAAGAAGGAGCCCAGGUAAGCAUCAGGUCCAAGCCUGGAAAGUUUUAGGGAUGGAAAGACGGUUGGUCAGAAGCUUUGUGAGCAAGGCUGAAAGAGGUUAGACAUAUGGUUAAUGAGUCAGAGGAAGAUCACAAAGGUUUUUGCAAGACAAGUUAGGAGUAAGGAAUUUGUCAUUUAUUCUAAGUAAAAUAGCAAGCCUUUGGAGAGAAAGGUCACAAUCUGGUUCAUCUUGGUGAUCUGUGGAAAACUGAUUUUUAAGGAAAGAGUGUAAAAAGGGAAAUCAGUAGUUCAGAUGAGACGUAUGGAGGGUAGCAG